rnacentral:rRNA from 1 species
GUGAAGUGGAGCUAAUCUCAGAAAACUAUUCUUAGUUCGGAUUGUACUCUGCAACUCGAGUACAUGAAGUUGGAAUCGCUAGUAAUCGCGAAUCAGCAAUGUCGCCGGUGAAUACGUUCUCGGGUCUUGUACACACCGCCCGUCACACCACGAGAGUUGGUUGCACCUGAAGUAGCAGGCCUAACCGUAAGGAGGGAUGCUCCGAGGGUGUGAUUAGCGAUUGGGGUGAAGUCGUAACAAGGUAUCCGUACGGGAACGU